rnacentral:rRNA from 1 species
GACGUAGGGUGCAAGCGUUGUCCGGAAUCAUUGGGCGUAAAGAGCGUGUAGGCGGCCAGAAAAGUCCGCUGUGAAAACUCGAGGCUCAACCUCGAGACGCCGAUGGAAACCGACUGGCUAGAGUCCGGAAGAGGAGAGUGGAAUUCCCGGUGUAGCGGUGAAAUGCGCAGAUAUCGGGAAGAACACCCGUGGCUAAGGCGGCUCUCUAGUACGGUACUGACGCUGAGACGCGAAAGCGUGGGGAGCGAACAGG